rnacentral:tRNA from 1 species
GCAGCUAUGGCGGAAUUGGCAGACGCGCAUGAUUCAGGUUCAUGUCUGUAAUAUACAGAUGUGGGUUCAAGUCCCACUAGCUGCA